CUCUUUUUGAUAAUAAUAUAAAGUAGGGCCUGCCCACUGAAAUUUUAAAGGGCCGCAGUAUUUUGACUGUGCAAAGGUAGCAUAAUCAUUAGUUUUUUAAUUGAAAGCUUGUAUGAAUGGUUUGAUGAAAAAAUAACUUUCUAUAUUUAAAUUUAAUAAAAAUUUUAUUUUUAAGUUAAAAAGCUUAAAUUUUUUUAAUAGACGAGAAGACCCUAUAGAGUUUUAUUAUAAUAAAUUUUUAAAUUUUAGGAAUUUAAAAAUUUUAAUUUUUAUUAUAAUUUGGUUGGGGUGACUAAAAAAUUUAUAGAACUUUUUUUUAUUUUAUACAUUGAUUUAUGAAUAAUUGAUCCAUUUAAAUGAUUAUAAGAAUAAAUUACCUUAGGGAUAACAGCGUUAUUUUUUUUUARAGUUCAAAUCGAAAAAAGAGAUUGCGACCUCGAUGUUGGAUUAAAGUUAAUUUUAGGUGUAGAAGCUUAAAAAUUUGGUCUGUUCGACCAUUAAAACUUUACAUGAUCUGAGUUUAAACCGGUGUAAGCCAGGUUGGUUUCUAUCUUUAUAAAGUUAAUAAAUUUUAGUACGAAAGGACCAAAUUUAUAGUUAAUAAUUUAUUUUUUGAAUAAAAUUAUUAUUUUGGCAGAAUAGUGCAUUGGAUUUAGAAUCUAAAUAUGUAUAUUUAUACAAAUAAUAAUAGAUUUAAUUUUAAUAAUAAUAGUAAUUUUAAUUUUAUUAUUAAGAGUAUUGGUUGGGGUGGCUUUUUUAACUUUAUUAGAACGUAAGGUUUU
rnacentral:rRNA from 1 species